AUUUAUGAAAUGGUACAAGUAUGUACUUGAUGCACUUGUAGUUGAUUGAUAAAUUAUUUAGAUUUAGUCAUUCAUUUUUGUUGUUGCAUGAAUAUAUUUUUUCUUUUAUUUUGUGAUAUUAUUUAUUUUCAAUGUUCAGUGUUAUUUACAACAUAUUGCUGACAAAGCGAGCUGAAGUUGCCUGGGUCUUGAGAUGAACUUUAAGUUCUCUGAUUCCUCAAAUCAAUCUGUUUGGGUCAUUAAGAAUAUCAAAAUGAGCUUGUGUUAGAUGAAGAAGACUGGAGAUGUUAGUUUCUUGUAGUGAAUGGACUCUCAUCAUAGGAUCAUUAAGAUAUUGCACCUAGACAUUGUUGAGUGCUUAGUAAGGAGUUUAGCUGAUUUUGCUGACCCUUCUUCGUCUAUGGCUCUCGUCAUUGUAGAAGUUAAAGGACAUGUUUUAGGACGUCAAUUCACCAGCAAUCUUACAAGUAUACGUAUGGCUGACCACCCCCAAAUUCAUCACAAACCCUGCUGCUCGCAGCUUUCGGCCUUUAUUCUGCUCCAUGGGAUUACUUCGUAACAACACCUCUUCUCCGAUCGUAACAACAGCCCGUGAUGGUACAACCCGG
rnacentral:lncRNA from 1 species